ensembl:snoRNA SNORA71 Small nucleolar RNA SNORA71
UCCUGUAUCGAAAGUGGUCAUGGCGUCCUCGUCGUCAGGUCAUUGAUAGUACAGGAAGAGCAAAACUGCGAGCCUUUCCCGUGUUUGCAGGAUGACCUGUUCCUGUCAGACCCUGGCGCUCUCAAACA